rnacentral:rRNA from 1 species
UACGGGGGGGAGCAAACGUUGUUCGGAUUUACUGGGCGUAAAGCGCGUGUAGGCGGCUUUGCAAGUCGGAUGUGAAAGCCCACGGCUCAACCGUGGAAGUGCAUCCGAAACUGCAUGGCUCGAGUCUCGGAGAGGAAGGUGGAAUGCUUGGUGUAGAGGUGAAAUUCGUAGAUAUCAAGCAGAACACCUGCGGCGAAGGCGGCCUUCUGGACGAUGACUGACGCUGAGACGCGAAAGCGUGGGGAGCAAACGGG